rnacentral:rRNA from 1 species
UCUGGUGAUCGACAGUGUGGCUGUUCCACCCGUUCCCAUUCCGAACACGGUCGUUAAAUGCCACGUCACCGAUGGUAGUGCUUCUAUAGGUUGCGCGAGAGUAGGUAAUUGCCAGAA